rnacentral:rRNA from 1 species
UACAGAGGAGCCAAGCGUUGUCCGGAUUGACUGGGCGUAAAGCGCACGCAGGCGGGGGUGCGCGUGGGGUGUGAAAUCUGGCCGCUUAACGGCCAGGCGCCAUCCCAUACGGCACGCCUGGAGCCUUGCAGAGGUCGGUGGAAUUGCCGGUGUAGUGGUGAAAUGCGUAGAGAUCGGCAGGAACACCCAGGGGGAACGACGCGAGCCGG